ACACCGGCAGCUCAAGUGGUAGCCGCUUUUAUUGGGCCUAAAGCGUCCGUAGCCGGUCUGAUAAGUCUCUGGUGAAAUCCCGCAGCUUAACUGUGGGAAUUGCUGGAGAUACUAUCAUGACUCGAGGUCGGGAGAGGCUGGAGGUACUCCCAGGGUAGGGGUGAAAUCCUGUAAUCCUGGGAGGACCACCUGUGGCGAAGGCGUCCAGCUGGAACGAACCUGACGGUGAGGGACGAAAGCCAGGGGCGCGAACCGGAUUAGAUACCCGGGUAGUCCUGGCCGUAAACGAUGUGGACUUGGUGUUGGGAUGGCUUCGAGCUGCCCCAGUGCCGAAGGGAAGCUGUUAAGUCCGCCGCCUGGGAAGUACGGCCGCAAGGCUGAAACUCAAAUGAAUUGGCGGGG
rnacentral:rRNA from 1 species